rnacentral:rRNA from 1 species
CUCAAAUUUGAAAUCUGGUACCUUUGGUGCCCGAGUUGUAAUUUGGAGAGUACCACUUUGGGACUGUACUUUGCCUAUGUUCCUUGGAACAGGACGUCAUGGAGGGUGAGAAUCCCGUGUGGCGAGGGUGUCAGUUCUUUGUAAAGGGUGCUCGAAGAGUCGAGUUGUUUGGGAAUGCAGCUCUAAGUGGGUGGUAAAUUCCAUCUAAAGCUAAAUACAGGCGAGAGACCGAUAGCGAACAAGUACAGUGAUGGAAAGAUGAAAAGAACUUUGAAAAGAGAGUGAAAAAGUACGUGAAAUUGUUGAAAGGGAAGGGCAUUUGAUCAGACAUGGUGUUUUGCGCCCCUUGCCUCUCGUGGGCUUGGGACUCUCGCAGCUCACUGGGCCAGCAUCGGUUUUGGCGGCCGGAAAAAACCUAGGGAAUGUGGCUCUGCGCCUCGGUGUAGAGUGUUAUAGCCCUGGGGAAUACGGCCAGCCGGGACCGAGGACUGCGAUACUU